UACAUACUUUUGCAAUUGCCUAUGCAAAAACUCACCUGAUUAAUAAUAAUAAACAUGUAUCAAACAAAAAAAGCAACAAACAACAUCCCUCAAAUUCAAUGAUACAAUGAACCCAAUUAUUUUUCUUAACACUGUGCUUCAAACUCAUAGACAAAGUCAGCUGGUUUGUACAGAUUAUUUGAGGACUACAGCCUUAAAGCGAAAUAAGUUACCAUUUCCUCAUAAUCAAAAGAACUAAGAAAUGUUCAUCACUUUUUCUGGAAUCACAGCUGCUCAACUAACCCCUGGCAAAGCAAAGUUCUGACUCUGAAUUAAGAGACAGCUCUUCCUGCUUAAGUGUAUUUUAAUAGCUAUUUCUCUGCAAAACAGAUGUUUUUCAAGUUUUGCAGGUACUAAAAAUAUAAGAACUGGGCAAUACAUUUUAGAGGGUAGUUCUCAUUAAUCUGCUAGCAUCUGAUUUCUGAAUGGGGAUUACAUGUUAUGGAAGAUUUUAUUUUAUAUAUAUAUAUAUACACAUAUAAAAAAGGAGAUCUCAGACAGACAUUUUCAAUGCAGAGUGGUAUUUUCAAUGGGCAAAAAAACCCCACCUAGUCUUAUUCUGGAAUAUUUCCCUAAUAAUGAAAUGAAAGCUUUCUAUUGCCAUAAUAAAACAACUUGCUAAUAUUUAAAUAUUAUAUUUUGGAAUACUGCAAAAUAUAUUAUGUUUCGAAGGAUGUUAGGAGAUUUAAUUAGCCUUGCAUCUCUGGAUAACAUGUAUAGCACUUGCUUGUUGAGGGAGGUUGUAUCUCAAAGUGUUACCAACUAGUGGUUUUUAAAGUGGAGGACUAGGCAUCAGACCUUCCAUUUUCUUUCAAUGAAGUUUAAACAUCCCUUAAAAUAAACAAUUCAGUGCAAACCAACGUAUCUGAUAUUGAUUUAUUCUAUUCAUAAAAUGUAACAACAUAAUGGUAAAUUCAAUCUAUUCAAUGAUAAGUUUAUGAGCUUAAAUAUAUCAAAAGGGCAAUGAAAGCUAAUAUAUAGUGAUUAAAUAACAAUCUGUGAGAAAAAGACACACAACUUUCAAUUCCAUUAUACUGAAAUCAUAUACUGACAAAAAGCAGGCUUUUGAAUUGUUUCAAAGGAAGCUGCAGCCAUUUGCCCUUUUUAACAGCUUGGAAGUUCACAAGGAAAGAUUAAUUUAUAAUUUAACUGAAGUGUAUCUCAAAUGAAGUUUUUGAUUAAAAUCUACAUUUCUGAGCCUCCUGGCAGUGCCAAUAUUGCUGAAACAGGACAUCAGCUGCAACGCCAGCAAUUCUGGAAUGCAAUGCCAUAAACUGUAAAUCAGUUUUGUCCUACUUUAAUAUUGGUUUAACAAUAAAAGAAGAACUUUGAUGUUUAAUAUUUAAAUAGCAUAAUUAUUCCUUUAGAAUCAAGUCCAGAAGGACCCUUCAUGGGUACACAACAUGAAACAACAACAAAGAGAACAUGCUUUUGCUGCACUAAGAGGCUUUAAUUUGUAGGACCUGGGUGAAAGGUACAGCACAAUUUCUGUGUGUUGCAGGAGAUUCCACAGAAGCUCUUUAGAAGGGGAAAUGCUCUCCCACGAUGACGGCGAUGCCAGUGGAUUCAUGCACAAAAUUGAACAACAAAGCUUAAACACUGUCAAAGCAGAGAACUGUGAACAGUAUCCACCACAGUUGCUCAGAAAUCACCAGCUGGCUAUCCUGGUGCCUUGGUUUUGAAACCCGGACACAAGGGUUGCUUUCUUCAUCAUUGUUUUUGAAGUCAAGAUCUGAGCAAGCAAAGCUUCCCUUUCCCCUUUCCUCUCUCUCCUACCCUUUGUUACUUCAGGAUGGGUGAAGACAGAAAAAUUUAGACCUUUUGGAACUGAUAGAUAGAGGAAUGCCUGUCAUUAUGAGCUAAGUAUUGCCUCUGAACAUUUAGUUAAUUAGUAAUGGUAAGAUGCAAUAAUUUUCCUGUUCUGGAGUAAAGUUAGAGAGAAGUUCUACACCUGCACUACAACCAAGGAAUGCAGGAUAAUUAUAACUGCAAUUGUCAAGUCAAUCACACAGGACACUGGAAAAACAUUUCCCACUACUUAAAUAGAUCCAAGGUACUACUGGAAAUACAAAGACAAAUAUAAUUAUCUUCUGUAACAGAGAAAACUCUUGUAUAUUCAAGGAAAUGAGAAAGAUGUAAUUCAUUUUGACUUAGAAUGCAGUUUGUCCAGACCAAGCAAUUACAGAGUUACACCCACCAAGGAAGGAAGUGGGAGUGAUAGAGGGAUCCGGGCUGAACUCUGACUUUGUGAUGCAGGGAACAUUCAAAGUAGCAGAAGCUUCUGCAACACAAGACAGCCAUCAUAACCUGACUGCUAGUGGUGGGAUCACACCAACUGCCUAUGCCUACCAAUACUCUUAAUCCAGUGCUGUACUGUACCAUGCAGUAUUUGGCCACCAUGUUUCAUAUACAUUACAAUACAAGCUAUGUGCUGGAACUAAAUCAGUUAUCUAAUUAAGAAGUCACUUAUAGCAUUCAGCCUUAAUUUGUUCCAUAAAUUUAAAAAAAAAAAAAAGGUGUAAUGAAUAGAAAAGGAAAAUGAAAGAAGAGAAAGUUUCAUGAUUAAGGCAGAUGAAUACUAUCUAGGGAACUAAAUACUACCGCUAUUUCUACCAUGGAGUUCCAGUGCAAUGAAAGCUACACUGCAGUAAGAAGUGCAACCCAAGGCACACAGGUACUCUGGCUGUACAGCUGUGCAGCUGCAGCAGCACGGCCUACGACCCUUGCCCUCGGUUUCCGAGCCAUUGCUCUCCAUGCCAGGUGGACUGACAUGAGGUUAGCUUCCCCACACUCUCCUAAGCACACACCUGACUGUUGCAGCAAUGCUGGCUGCAGGAAACUGAAACUGGCUCUGCUAGCUGCAGGACUCUGCACUCCUGUCGGGAGAUGCGGCAGCAGCACCAGCAAGAAUUUUGCAUGGCUCCCUAUCUUCCACUGCCAACUCCGUAAGGAAUCAAAGCUGAGAUUUUUGUGAAGGGGAGGAACCACUAGAGGCUGAAUAAAGAGGGAAGGCGUAAUUUCCAAACCUGGACUGAAAAAUGGAUAAAGGUCCAAAAAAUUUAGUCGGUCACUAAAAAGCACCCCUGGUAAAAUAAAGGUUAGGAAGUAUUUCUUUAGAAGAUAAAAAUAACAGAACUUUUUUUGACAUGGAAAGAAAUGGAGGAGGCUGUACUCCUGUUGUUAUUUAACUAUCACAGGGCUCUAACAUCCAUCUACUCCCUAAAACCAAUAAUUUACAUUUCCAAAAAUCUUCCUAAACUAAAUCCAGUCUAUAAAAUGCACAUUUUGCAAACACUUGAGCUUGAAGCAUGAAUUUGAGUGCUUUGUUCAGUAUAGCAGACUACUCUCAAGUUUGGUAAAAGUAAACGGGCACAGAAGCCAUUCACUGCCUUUAAGGAUUAAAUGACAUAGCGGCGGAUUGCUAUGAAAGUGUGAAAGUGCACGGUCCUAUCAUGUAUGAGCAGAUGGAAAGAUCAAAGACUGAAAUCUGUUUUGGUCCAUUUUGUUCUUGACUGGGAACUCAACAACAGCCAAACCAUCAGGGUUCUACAGGUCAAGUCUUCAAAGAAACCCACAUUUCCUUCCAUCGCCUUUCAAAAUGUAACUUACAAACUGACCUUCAGAACCUCGCUGAUACAUUCUGAAGCCAGUAUGCCUUCCCCAAAAACCACCAAAAACAUGGAAAAGCUGCCCUUCUGAAACUGCAUUAACAAAACUCAACGCUGUAAUAGGAGACAAUAAAAGCAAUGGCCCAGUUAAUUGAGCAUUUUCCCCACUUCCCACUGCCAAAGGAUACAUAAAUCCAUGCUGCUUCCUUCAUAAUGGCAGAAAAAUUUUCCACUAUAUUUUCUUAUAACUAGUUAAGAAUAGAUAUAAGCACAAGUUAUUCUCUAGCAACUCAUUUAGUCCAUGAUUCUGCAUCUUUCAUCUCACCAAUCCUCUCCCAGAUUUAUCUUCCAUUGACUUUCACAGUUUGAAAAUCAAUGUUAAGCCAAUGUUGGGUAAAAUUAUUAUUUUACCAUACUUAUUUUGCAAUAAACAGUAAUUUGAGUGAGUGUGUAAAACUGUAUUAUAUAUAAAUAAAAACAUUAACCAAACUGGAGGCAUAGAGUCAGUUAAUGCCCUAAUUGAGGAGCCUUGGAGACAGAAACUGUACAGCAUUUUUACGUAGCAUGUGGGAAAACUGUGCAGCAUGGGAGUUUUGAACGUUAAUACUGCAGCUGUACUAAAUCUACUGUGUCAGACACUGUCUGCAAGCAAACCAGAUUUAAGGAAGUACAUUUUUACUGCAACAUCGGAGGCUGAAAAAUGGUUAACUUGGUUAAGUUCAACAGAACUUACUUAAAGUUCAGCUUACUUAAAGAACAGACAUUAAUUAUGUGCACCUGCUAAACAGUCAUGGACAAACAGUUCUGUACAUACACAACUAUGUGACCUAUAUAAAGGUUGAAAUUAUGGAUCAAAGAGUAAUGCAUUUUACAAUUAUUUUAACACUAUGGCAAUUAUGCAUGAUAGAGAACAAUUACUGUAUCAGGAUCCAAACAAUGAAAAAUACAAAACAUUUCUGUUAACUAUAAUUUCAUUGCUUAAUGCCUUUUAUCUGCUCUCACAUCUUUCUCUGAAUGUACUGUAAAAUGUUAGAUGGAUAUCAGAGUGACCCUGGGCAGGAUUCACAGAUAUUAAUUUGUUGUAGUGUUUCAUAUUUUCUCAUACGUUAAUAGAAAAAAAUAAUGUUUUACUACACACAGAAAUACGCACAGGAGAGAUGUUGUACAGCUGCUGUUAUCGCUGUGAUGCAUUUGAGAAAUUUAAACAAACAUGCCAACUCUUCUGCAAGCCUUGAAUUAGUUGUUUUUCCAUAAGCACGGAACACCACACUGGCCUUAUGGAAGACAGUGCAGAACACGUUCUGCAGACCCUUGCUGCCAAAAGGCACAAGGAAAUAGCCUCUGUAUAAGGAAGUUCUGUGAGAUGGGAUGCACAACUGGGAAGUUUGCAAAAGUAUGUAUGCACACAAACACACACACAAAAGUUUUGGGCAUCUAGUACAUUAUAGCUGGAAUCCUAAAAGUGCUAUGACAUAUUUAAUUUAUAGGUUAAUCUACCUGUAUCUGUCCCCUUUCCCUCAUGCUGUUGUCCUCCAGCUCUCCCCCCCUUUCACUGAGCUGAAGAGGAUCUUUUAUCAGUCUGUACAUACUCAACCACAUGCUCCUUUGUCCACAGACCCUGCUCACACAGUUGAAAUCUCCACUUGGUCUUCUCUAGGAAGCUACUGUCAAAAUUAUAACUGUAAUGUUUUCAAAACAAACACAAGAACACACACACAAGCAGUGUGGUGUG